rnacentral:lncRNA from 1 species
AUGAAUCCAAUAUUUCUGAUGCCAGUAAAAUCUCCUUGGCUCUGGAAUAGUCAUUUUCCGUGAAGUGCAGCCCUCUCACAUGCACAAACUUGCUGAAAACAAAACGAUGAAGCACCAGGAAGCUGACAGCCAGUCAUUUUCUGACACAAUGGUGUUUUUACAAGAGGCACACAAAAGAGAGACACAGAGAGAAGAUGAGAAGACUGAGGCAGACAUUGGAAUGACGCAACCAGGAGCCAAGGAAUGCCUGGAUCCAUGGGAAGCAGAAGAGGCUUUCUCACCAUGUGAUGCAUUCUGCUAUGUUAUGAUACAGCAAGAAGGGCCUCACAAGAUGUGACCUCUUGUUCUUGGACUUCUCAGCCUCCAGAAUCAUGAGAGGGAGUGAGAGAAGUCAAACCUCUACCAGACUAGACAGAAUUUGCAUGUCUAUCUCUUACCUCCCCUCUUUGAGCCGAAGGACUAGAGGAACAAAAGACUCAGCCCCAAGGUUAUCCGCUGCUGCUGCCCCCGAGACAGUAAGACCGACUCCUCCUCUUUCUCCUCCUCUUCAUCCUACUCUAUGUGAAGACAAGAAUGAAGAUCUUUGUGACGAUCCACUUCCAGUGAAUGAUUACUAAGAGUAUCCACGUGACCUGGACCUGGGUGAGUGGGUCCUAGAAAAAUUUUUGCUUUCUUGCUACUCUUCCUUCUUCUCACUGGAAUGUAAAUGUAAAGGGUGGAGCUGCAGCAGCCAUCUUGCUAUCACAAAAGAAAGACUGAGAGAACAGCAGAAGAGUUGACCUUAAUGUUGUUGAACCACUGAAUCAACGCUGUAAACAAUCUAUCUCCAAAAUUCUUGGUAUGUGAGAAACUAAACUACUGUUUAUUUAAGUUGGGUUGUCUGUUAAGUGCAGCUGAAUGUCUUCCUAAUUGAUACAGAAAUGCAUUUAAAAAAUAGCAUGCACACUUUUUAGUAUGAGCUAAGAAAAUGAGUAAGAACACAGCACAUUGAACCCAAUUUUGCAUUUGCAAUCCCCAAAGAACCCUGGUACACUUUUGUAGAAUAUUAAUGUGAAACCUAAGUUUGGGGAAUGUCUCUGAUGAGAAGUUGGGAAACAGAAAUAGAUGAGACCUAUCUAUGGUGCAAAGAUAAAUUUUGGUUAGAAAGAAAAGAGCAAGAACAUGCACAAAAAUGUGUGGCAGAACCAGGCUGUGGGCAGGAACCAGAGGAGCUGUCUACUAUGGUUGUAUUUAAUAUGACUGCUGAGGACAAAGCUCUGAUUUUUUUAUCUGGCCCAAAUUCCUAUCUAAGGUGUCUGGAGAGUCAUGCCUUACAAACCAUACAUUCUCAUCAGAUGGGUUUUAUUUAACCCCAUAUAUUGUGACUUUCCAAUCUGACUCUGGCAUAAUAUUAUGUGACAAAAAAGAAAGUCAAAAUAUUUUACUCCAAAACAUCUUUCUUUGUCUUAUUUUGAAAUGGCCCUGCAAAUGUGUCCUUUGUGGGGGGAAAUUUAUACCUGUAAAGAAUCUCUAUUAACAUAGCUAUAUCUUUUUCUUCCUGGCCCUCCCAAUCCUAAAGAGAUUGAGUAAGAGUCUAGCACCUUUUAAAGGUCUGAAUAGGAAACAUUUGUCAUCUAUUCCCCCGAAGAACAGCCACUGUAAGACUUCAAAAGAACUGUGGUCUGCACAAUCUUUUAUCUUAACCUGAACAUUUCUUUUCUAUGGAACCCAGGUCUUUAGACAAACUCAACCAAUUGUCAACCAGAAAAUGUUUAAAUGUUUCUAUAGCCUGGAAGCCGCCUCCUCCCCACCACCAUCCCAUUCCACUUUGAGUUGUCUGGUUUUUCUAGACCAAACCAAUGUAUUUCUUAAAUGUAUUUGUUUGAUGUCUCAUGCCUCCCUAAAAUGUACAAAACCAAGCUGUGUCCAACCACCUUGGGCACAUGUCCUCAGGACCUUCUGAGGGCUGUGUCACCAGAUGUGGUCAUUCAUAUUUGGCUCAGAAUAAAUCUCUUCAAAUAUUU